rnacentral:rRNA from 1 species
CCCGUCAAGUUGUUUCUUAUUAGGAAUGGAAUGAAUGGUUUGAGUGUGGAAUAGCUGUCUUUAUAAAAUGUUAUGAACUUUCCUUUUAAGUGAAAAGGCUUAAUUGUUUGUAAAAGACGAGAAGACCCUGUCGAGUUUUAUUAAGGUUUAUAAAAGUUUGUGAUCUUAAAUUUUGUUGGGGCAAUAAAAACCAAAAUAACGGUUUAUUUUUAUUUAGAUCCUUUAGAAAGAAUAAAGCAAAAACUACCGCAGGGAUAACAGCGUUAUCCUUUUUAAGAGGUCUAAUUGAGAAAAGGGUUUGCGACCUCGAUGUUGGAUUAUA